rnacentral:rRNA from 1 species
GACGUAGGGGGCGAGCGUUGUCCGGAUUUAUUGGGCGUAAAGCGCGCGUAGGCGGCCGCGCAAGUCGCGUGUGAAAGCCCCCGGCUCAACUGGGGAGGGUCACGCGAUACUGAUCGACUCGAAGGCAGGAGAGGGAAGUGGAAUUCCCGGUGUAGUGGUGAAAUGCGUAGAUAUCGGGAGGAACACCAGUGGCGAAGGCGACUUCCUGGCCUGUUCUUGACGCUGAGGCGCGAAAGCUAGGGGAGCAAACGGGG